GAGCUAUCAAUCUGUCUAUCCUUCCAGUGUCCGGGCCUGGUGAGAUUUCCCGUGUUGAGUCAAAUUAAGCCACAGGCUCCACUCCUGGUGGUGCCCUUCCGUCAAUUCCUUUAAGUUUCAGCUUUGCAACCAUACUUCCCCUGGAACCCAAAUGCUUUGGUUUCCCGGAAGCUUCCUGCCCAGUCUACAGUAAAAACGCAGGCAGAUCGCUAGCUGGCAUCGUUUAUGGUUAGAACUAGGGCGGUAUCUAAUCGCCUUCGAACCUUUAACUUUCGUUCUUGAUUAAUGAAAACAUUCUUGGCAAAUGCUUUCGCAGUAGUUUGUCUACAAACGGUCCAAGAAUUUCACCUCUGUCGUUUGAAUACAAAUGCCCCCGACUGUCCCUAUCUAUCAUUAUGUCGAGUCCCGAAAACCAACAAAAUAGGAUCGACAUCCUAUUCUAUUAUUCCAUUUUAGCCUGCUUUGAGCACUCCAAUUUUUUCAAAGUAAACCUGCUGGCAUCCAGAGACACUCGAUCAAGAGCACCCCUAAACCUCCAGCAAAAGCACAGCCUACAAAGCAGUAAAACUACAAAGUUAACCGCUUCAAGGCUGUUGAGAUCCAACUACGAGCUUUUUAACCACAACAACUUUAAUAUACGCUAUUGGAGCUGGAAU
rnacentral:rRNA from 1 species